UUCUUCUGGAUGAAAUAAUGCAUUAGCCACAUCGUCGAUACGGCGUCGUUAUAGGAUUGUGUCGUGGUACAGUCGCUCCAAAAAUCAUUCCGAUCGUUUGGGACCCAACAAAACCUAGACAAGCUUUGCUUCAAUCAAUCAAGCAUAGAGUUGAAUCGGGGAGCUAAUUCAUUUUACUGGCUAAUUUGGGAAAUAAGCCGAUGAAGAAGCUCUAGGUAGCUUCCCAGAAGCUCUCUGUCUUCUAAAUAUUUCAGAGAUUUCUUGAAAUUCGAGUGAUGGCACCCAAGACUCGGAAACCAGUAGCAAAAAGAUCAAAACCAGCAGUGAAGAAAAGAAGAUCAAAUCUUGUAUCACAGAGGAGCAUGAGCAUCAACAAAACGAACAAGAACCAGACUUGGAAGUCAGUCAACAGCCAAUUCAAAAGCAAGUAAUGGCUCGUAGUACUCGAAGUGCAACUGCCAGUCGUACGGUCCGUUCUGGGAUUCUUGAUAGGCUGCAAAUGAUGGACAAUCAGCAACAACUGCAGCCACAAGCUGCUAUCGGGAAAGUGGCGGUUCAUACAACUCGGGGAACAACUAGAAACCAAAGUGGGUUUCGCGGGCUGGAAGAAACGAAUCUAAAUGAAGAACAUGAGAUUCAAAAUGAUGAAGAACUCCGAAACCAAGAAACGGCUCCCAGAUCCCAAAGAUCAACUGUAAAUAGAAGUCUAAAUCAUGGAUAUCUAGAGCAGGAUGAAAUGGAGGAACAUGGAUGGCAAGAAAAUGAACAGUUUACAAAGUAACUGAUGCACUUAAAAAUGCAUUACGGAUCUUGACGGCUUCUGGUUCUCAAAGAACAACUACCAAUCGAAACUCCCAUAGUGCAUUUCAAGAUAAUCAUCAAAGGCAGGAGAAUGGGCAAUGGAGAAAUAGGGGACAAAUUCGGCCACCAAUCAGUGAACAAGCUUCUUUCAUUACUCCAAUAACUAGGAAGGCAACUGGAAGCCACGUUGUGCGUCACAGACUUCAAGAUGAGAUCCAAAUGGAAGUAGAUAGACAUCACCAAAAUGAAGAACAAUGUUAGGAGUGAAAGGCGAGGGGAGGGGUAGGGAGCACAAGAUGUGCACGGAAUUACGAUAUGUCAAGCGUAAGGCGAGUAAUGAAUGGAAUUCGAUCACUUGUAUUGCAAAAAGAAUAAUGAAGAACACUCCUCCGCAGAGGCCUAUGACUAAGUCGUCCA